UGGUAUUCAACUGUAUCCGACUGUAUUCACGGCUGAAAUAAGGGAUUAUACUGUUUUUAAAAUGGAAAGUGAAUCAAUUAACAUAUUAGACUCCU
rfam:Nicotiana sylvestris Nsyl_contig44159, whole genome shotgun sequence.